UGCACAAUCUGUUCCACACUUGCACACCUUUGUACCGCGAGACUUUCAUUCACUCACAGCGAAAAAAAAAUGGAGUGCAGCGAAAGAAAAUAAAAAUUUGCCCUUUACGCUGCCGUUAGGCAAUAUUUGGUUGACGGGCUGGUGGAUGCGGCAUUGAAAAAAGAAGGUCUCACGAAUGGCUGCAAAUUUCGUUAUAAGAGAGAUAAAAGCUAUUAAGAAGUGAGGGAUGUGAGAUCUACCUGAAGCUCAGGUGUUCGGUGGUGUCCUGCAGCCUGGCCCUCUGCCCUGGAGAUCCUCUGCAGCGUGGCGCUUCCUCCUGAAGCAGCAGAUUGGGCUACCGGUCCCCUCCCUGGGUCUGUCACGCUGCUGGGCCUGUGCCGAGCCUAUGACAUCACUAGUGUGGAGUGGAAUAGGGUGGAGUGUCUGGCCACCGCUGCUAAACUCUGGCCUCCAGCUUUGCUGCCUUCACUGCUCUCUGGCGGUCUGCCAUCCUGGACUGGACUUCCUGCCAUCCUGGUUUGAUCCUCUGCCUCAGUCAUGGUUUUGCUUUCUCGCUCCGGCUUUAAACGUAUAUGACGUCAUCUAAUGCAGCAGCACUGCACAUGCAGAAUGAUCAUUGUAUGACAUCAAAGAUGUUAUAUGCUGAUCGUCUGCACGGUGCUGCUCCAAGUCGAACACACCUAUACAUCUCGCCCUCUGUUGGAAUUACAAAGCGCUAACUUCUGCCCACCACCUCUUAUG